rnacentral:lncRNA from 1 species
CCAGCUGGAUCACUGUGAUAACGUCAGCUGGAUCACUGUGAUAACGCCAGCUGGAUCACUGUGAUAACGCCAGCUGGAUCACUGUGAUAAUACCAGCUGGAUCACUGUGAUAACAACUUUACUGAAUCUAUUCAUCAAAUGGUUUUGUCGCAUCAUUCUGCUGUAGCAGGGGUUCCUUUAUCACAUAAAAAAAUGCAUAAAUUAGUUAUAAUAAUAAUAAUAAUAAAGGAUAAGGAAAAUAAAGUCUAGAACCAAUUUUCCCAAAUGUUAUACCGCUACUAAAUAUGUUUCAUAAUUUAUAUGAACCCUUUAAUUAUACAUAUUCUCUUUUACAGAAAAUAUAUAGAUCAAUUGAUUGUGACAAAGUCACACAUUGUAUAAGAUUACUUCCCAAGCACUUCAUUUUUUAAAUUGAACCUUUGUUUUAACAGGGAAGACAUGUGCCCUGUAUAUACAACAUGAACAUACAGUUCCUUCUGAAAGUAUUCAGACCCCUUGACUUUUUCCACAUUUUGUUAUGUUACAGGCUUAUUCCAAAAACGGUUACAUUUUUUAAAAUCCUCAUCAAUCUACGAACAAUACUCCAUAAUGACAAAGCGAAAAUAGGUUAUUAGACAUUUUUGCAAAUGUAUUAAAAUCAAAAAACAGAAAUACCUUAUUUGCAUAAGUAUUCAGACCCUUUGCUAUGAGACUAAAUUAAGCUCAGGUGCAUCUUGUUUCCAUUGAUCAUCUUUGAGACAACUUGAUUGGAGUCCAUCUGUGGUAAAUUCAAUUAAUUGGACAUGAUUUGGAAAAGCACACACCUGUCUGUAUGAGGUCCCACAGUUGACAGUGCAUAUCAGAGCAAAAACCAAGCCAUGAGGUUGAAGGAAUUGUCCGUAGAGCUCUGAGACAGGAUUGUGUCAAGGCACAGAUCUGGGGAAGGGUACCAAAAAAUGUCUGCAGCAUUGAAGGUCCCCAAUAACACAGUGGCCUCCAUCAUUAUUAAACGGAAGAAGUUUGGAACCACCAAGACUCUUCCUAGAGCUGGCCAAACUGAGCAAUCGGGGGAGUAGGGCCUUGAUCAGGGGGGUGACCAAGAGCCCGAUGGGAGCUCUGACAGAGCUCCAGAGUUCCUCUGUGGAGAUGGGAGAACCUUCCAGAAGAACAACCAUCUCUGCAGCACUCAACCAAUCAGGGCAUUAUGGUAGAGUGGCCAGACGGAAGCCACUCCUCAGUAAAAGGCACACGACAGCCCACUUGGAGUCUGCUCUGAUGAAUGCCAAGCAUCGCGUCUGGCAGAAACCUGGCACCAUCCCUACGGGGAAGUUUGGUGGUAGCAGCAUCAUGCUGUGGGGAUUUUGGUCAGCAGCAGGGACUGGGAGACUAGUCAGGAUAGAGGAAAAAAUUAACAGAGCAAAGGACAGAGAGAUCCAUGGAGAAAACCUGCUUCAGAGCGCUCAGGACCUCAGACUGGGGCAAAGGUUCCCCUUCCAACAGGACAACAACCCUAAGCACACAGCCAAGACAACACAGGAGUGGCUUCGGGACAAGUCUCUGAAUGUCCUUGAGUGGCCCAGCCAGAGCCCGAACUUGAGCCCGAUCGAACAUCUCUGGAGAGACCUGAAAAUAGCUGUGCAGCGACGCUCCCCAUCCAACCUGACAGAGUUUGAGAGGAUCUGCAGAAAAGAAUGGGAGAAACUCCCCAAAUACAGGUGUGCCAAGCUUGUAGUGUCAUACCCAAGAAGACUCCAGGCUGUAAUCGCUGCCAAAGGUGCUUCAACAAAGUACUAAGUAAAGGGUCUGAAUACUUAUGUAAAUGUGAUAUUGCCUGGGGGGGGGGGGGUUUGCAAACAUUUCUAAAAACCUGUUUUUGCUUUGUCAUAAUGGGGUAUUGUGUGUGGAUUGAUGAGGGAAAAAACUAUUGAAUACAUUUUAUAAUACUUUCCGAAUGCACUGUAAACAUUAUACCCAAACUAUGUACAUAUACAGUAGUUAAUCUGGAACAUUCUUACGAGGGUUUGAAAACAACAUGUAUUUCCUUUUGCCCAUAUUAGGCACAUGUUUUCAAUAAGUAAGUGAUUCCUGCACAGAUAUCAAAUUCGAUUGUAAUUUUGACACAGCCAGAUCAACAGUCGGGGCAAUAGCAUACAUAAUACUAUCAUACAAAUACAGAUGAAGUUUACCAUUUUGAACCGAUUUACCAAUGGUGUUUAUAUAAAUAGUGAAGAGAACAGGUACCAAAAUCAACCCCCGUGGUACACAAUGUACGUCGAGAAAUUCUGACGUAACCCCAUCAAUCACGAUGACUUGAGUUCUGUCACUAAGAUAAUCAUGAAACCGCGAACAGGCGUCAGAGCUCAGGCCUAUCGAGGACAACCUAUUUUAAUAAAAUAGCAUGAACAACAGUAUCAAAAACGUUUUGACAGGUCAACAAACAAAAUAAGCACAUUUCAUUUUAGCAUUGACAAGCCCAUUAACAACUAAAGUGAUUGUUGUAACAGUGCUCUGCCCAGGCCUAAACCCUGAUUGGUUUACAUUCAGAAUACAUUUCUCAGAUAAAAAAAAGAGCAAAGUUGAACACUCAACGAAGGUUCUAGAAUCUUAUCUCGACCAGGAAGCCUUGAAAUGUGGCGAUAAUGAUUAAGAUCUCUACUAUCCUCGUCCUUAUGGAGUGGCAGCACAAGAUCUGAUUUCCAAUACUUUUAGAAUAUUUCCCGAUAACAACGUUAAAUAACAAAUGGGGGUUAUUGAGCCAACAAUGAUCUGUGCCGCACACUUAAGCAGACCGGGAUCCAAUUGGUUGGCCCCUGUGGAUCUAUUGUUGUCUAUUGCUAGCAAAGCAUCCAGGACUUAUUUCUCUGUAAAUAGCCUAAAAGAAAAUCUUUGACUAUAAAUUCUCUGAUCAUUCAGCAAGUUUCCUCUAUCAUCAUCCAGCCCAAUAUCAUUGUGAAUAGGCUUAGAAGUUCUUGCAAAGAGAGAGCCCGCUGAAAUAAAAUGGUGAUUAAAUGCAUCAAAUUAUGGAUUUUUUUAUAAUGAGGCCAGUGUCUGAUUUAAUUUGUUGUUGCAGAGGAGGAAGUUGAACCCUUCAGGGAUCUUCCAGAAUUCAGCCGGGUUCCCAUUACAAUCCGAAAGUGUGGUUGCAUAAUAAUUUGAUUUAGCCUUUCUGAUUUGUCUUGCACAAUGAUUCCUCAGUUGCUUAAAAACUUGCCAGUCCGGGUGUAAGACUGUGUUCCUGGCCUUGACCCAAGCAUCAUCUCUUUUGUGAAUGACUUCUGAUGAUUCCGGAGUGUACCACGCAUUCGACUGACCUCUAACCCUGAUUUUUUUUUUAAGGGAGCAUGAUUAUCUACAACAGUAUUGAAGACAUCUGCAGAAAGGCUCCAAGCUAAAUCAGGUUCAGGGAUUAGAUGAAAUACAAUCAAGGUCACUAAAAUAAAGAUAAUGUAAAAAAAAGCCUCUUCACUGAAGUUCCUCUUUGUGAUGACACGAAGCUUCGCUUUUUAUAUUCUCACAUCUCUAACAGAAACAACUGGGCAGUGGUCACCAGUGUCUUGGGUGAACACACCAGUAGAAACAUAUUUCUCUGGUGUAUUUGUUAAAAUAAGAUCAAUCAAUCAGAGUUGACUUUGAAGGAUCUUUAGGCUUGGGCCGUGAAGGCUUUGUCACCAGCUGGGUUAGGUUUAGAUCAUUGCACAUGUCUUUUAGAUUGUCUGAAGCCUGCAUUUCCCAAUCAUAAUUUAGGUCACCCAGGAUAAUAAAUUCUGAUUUAGUAAAAGAAGACAAUAAACUAGUUUAACUCCUUGAGUGCACAAAGGUUAGCCAAGGGAGGACGGUAGGCCCCUAUAACAGUUAUGGAUACAUUUUCCCCUAGACAAAGGCUAAAAGAUAGGAGAAAAAAAGUAUUUACAAGGGACAAGGGAUUUCGGUAAAGAGACAGGGACAUUUAAAAAAAUAAUGUAAUGGCCACUCCACUACAUCUACCCUGUCUGUCGGCGCUGAACACAUUACAACCCUUAAUACUAAUAUCAGAGUCCAGAAUUUCCCCAGAGAUCCACGUUUCAGUCAAAACUAGAAUGUCCGGAUUCAUCUGCAUAACCCAGAUCUUGAUGUAAUCCAGUUUAGGAAGUAAACUCUAAAUGUUGAAAUGCAUCAACCCAAGUCCUUUAUGAUUUUAUCAAACCGAGGAGGUAUUCAUCAACUUUAUGGAAUUCACACUUGAACUAAAAGUACUGGGUGAGCAGACUACUGUGGAAUCCUCUUUUUAGCUAACAAUAGCAGAUCUAGGAGUGGAUUCAAAACUAAAUGUUCAAGAAAGCGUACAGUAUUACAUAGAGCCAUUAUUGCAUGGAACUCCCUUCCAUCUCAUAUUGCUCAAAUAAACAGCAGACAUGAUUAAAAAAAAAAACUGAAAAAGCAACACCUCACAGCACAAUGCCUCUCCCCUAUUUGACCUAGAUAGGUUGUGUGUAUGUAUUGAUAUGUAGGCUACGUGUGCCGUUUUUAAAUCUAUGUAAUUCUGUCCUUGAGCUGUUCUUGUCUAUUAAUGUUCUGGAUGAUGUCAUGUUUCAUGUGGAGCCCAGGAAGAGUAGCUGCUGGUUUCGCAACAGCUAAUGGGGAUCCUAAUAAACUACCAAAUAAGCCUGGCAGACAACAGUAGGACGAUAACGCUUAGAAAGGAUGGGAGGUAUUACCUGAGCGGGUCUGCCUCCGAGUCUAUAUCUUAACGCAGCCUUGACAUAUGAAGAUAGGGUCCAGGCUCCAAGAUGGAUUGGGUCCAUCAUCUCUGUAAAGCAUCUUUCUUUUCCAAAAAGUGUCGAAAUUGUCUAUUAAAGUUGUGCUAACAGAGUGGCAGUGACAGCCGCAUCUAUUCUCAAAAAUAAUGAUGUAUCAUGAUGAAUGUGUUUAUUUAUUUAACCCGGUAAAUUGACUGAGAACACAUUCUCAUGUACAGCAAUGACCUGGGGAAUAGUUGCAUGGGGGGAGGAGGUGGAUGAAGGAGCCAAAAAUGCAUGCAUUUUGCGUACCAACUACGCAAUUAUCGGUCAAUGUACGCAGGUACGAGAUCCGAGUUAAAAGUACGCAGAAAUGAAUAGGGCCUGAUUUUUUUUUACAUCGUAAUAAAAAAGAAAUCCACUGAGUAAAUCUAGCAUCCCAAUUCUCGAGCUGCAACACACAGACAUGUACUGUGUUUGUGUCAACGGACAUGGAGAUGAAUACAUUAUUAUUCGACAUAGCUACCCCGGGUCUGCUCCUCCGCCUGUUUGUUGUGAUGCUGAGUUUGCCGGCUGUCAGCUGUACGUGAACACAUGGGACAAAUCCCUUUUCGACUCCGUGUGUUGUGGAAAGGUAAACACUAAUUGUUUCAAGCUAACGUUUUGGGUUGCCUAGUUAAAUAAAGGCUAAAUAAAAAAUGUAAAAACGUUAGCAAACAUAAGAUGGACAUUCAGUGGGCUCUAAAAGGCCAGCAGUUCACUCGCAUUUGCUCGUGAAAGAAAUUAAAUGCAAAUCCGAAAAAUAACUGGUUGCAUUUGUGCGAGUGUGAUAUACAUUUAAUUCUGCGUCCCAUUAGUUGUAUUUUCCACCUAACGUGACGAGGAUCCCGCAACCUGAUAGACUGUAACUAUAAUUAUGAUCCACGUCACAAAAAGCAUUGCAACAGUAUAAUCAAAAAUAAAUAGAAACAUCUUGGCAUUAAAUGGAGUCGGGAGUUUAGAAGACUGCGGGAUGACGAAUGAGUGAGUGUCCGGUAUCAGCUAUAGAGGCAAUGCUUCUAACAUGCCUUUGCACUAGAUUUGAGAUUUUAUCAAUUUCUAAAAUCUGAAAUGAUCUAUACGCUGCAAAGAAAUCCAAUAGGCACCUUUACAUAGGCUGAAACACCGGACUCUUCCAGCGGACAGCGUUCAGAUUCCCUUUGCGGUAGCCUAAUGAAGAUUUGUGUAGCCAGUUUGCGGUCUGUGUCGAUGCGAUCAUUUUGUUUUAGUUUUCAAAAUGAUUUUGCUUUUAGUGUUGAUUAGGAACCGUGUCUAAAAAGCCAAUACUUGUGAGCUGGCCCUAGUGAUUGGCCCUGUUUGAGAGAUGACAAGCGUUCCUCUACAAUAAGGACUAAACUUGGGGCCAAGCCAAGCUGGAUCUGAAGACAUUUUAUGCAGACGUCAGAAACGUAUUUAUCUACUGCAGUAGACUACAUGUUGCUGAAAUGUCCAUUUGAGGAUGUUUGCUCCUCCAGCAUGCAGUGGUUGCUGACAUUGGCAACAGGCAGACUGUCGAGUUCUCAUCCCUCAACUUUUUCAUGGCAAGCUUUCCCUGCAUGAUUCCUGAGGGAACCUCCAUGGAUCUGGUGGAAGAUGAGUUUGGACUCUAUCAGGCAACAACCUUUGAGCAGAACCUGGUCAACAUGCGCAAGGAUCAGACCUGGAGAGAAAUCAGCCCAAUGAAAAGGGGGGUAGCCUGGUCUACUCCCACCUUUCGGCUGUGAUGCUGGGGAUAUAUUCCACAGCAAUGCAGACUGGGAACAAAUAUUCAGUCUUGUUUCCAAGAACAAAACCCAGUACAGAGACUCCCUCAGUACAGACCUGCUGAGUGCCCUCGUUACCAAGAAGGUUUCUAUGAUUGCCAGAGGAACAGUUUUCCACAGAGAAGUCUACCCUGAUGCUCUGCUGCAAGGCUAAAUCUGCUAGCUACCAGGCUAAUCUGUCUAGGAAAUGAUUUCCUGAACAUUUGAAGGUCUCCAGAAGAUUAGUUCUCACCCACUGUUUCCUAUCAUAGCUUUUUCCUUUUUAUGAUGGAUAACAUGUUGAUUUGAUACUCAUGCUCCGCUUCAAACCCCAAUUUGGCACGCGCUACGGCCGUGCAGUUGAAUCUCCAAUUUGCCACGCGUGUCUGGUACUCUAAAAAAGUUGGACAGGGUGACAGCCAGAUUGGGAAUUCAGCCAGGACACCAGAGUUAACAGAUCACCGUAGACUUGGAAGGUGGUGCCACCAAUCUGGAUAAAAUCUGUUUCCCCGUAUGAAGGAAAGUGGUUGGUAAAAUAGGUUGGCGAGGAAUCAGCUAAAAGUCAAUCCACACAGUGUGAUAGUUAGUUAGAUUGAAUCACACAGUUAGUAGGAUCACCACAGUUCCAGGCAGCAAGCCAGAACCCAACCACAGACUAAAAACCAGCCAGCAAUAGGACCCACAAUAAACAAGGAACAAAACAGGCCAGCAUUACAACAGCAAGGAGAGAGCAGUGACUUAGCAAAUUCUGGGGCCCAUCAAAACAGCAACACAAUGGAGGCCAUGUUAACAGUAUGAUAGCCAGGAGAGAAGCACCUUGGAGGGGAUGUAGUUUCUAGUAGAGGCCGCUGGAAGCCGGGAGGGGGGCAAGCGCUACAGAGUAAAUCCAAGUUGUCUAAACAAAGUUUGGCGGUAGUCAAACAACAUCCAAGGCGCAAUGUCAAGCAGCAGUAGGCAGGUGUCUACUCAGAUAAUGCCCCAGUGCAGGUCCCAGUUCAGGCCCCAGUGCAGGCCCCAGUGCAGGUCCCAGUGCAGGUCCCAGUGCAGGCCCCAGUGCAGGUCCCAGUUCAGGCCCCAGUGCAGGCCCCAGUGCAGGCCCCAGUGCAGGCCCCAGUGCAGGUCCCAGUGCAGGCCCCAGUGCAGGUCCCAGUGCAGGUCCCAGUUGAGGUCCCAGUUCAGGCCCCAGUGCAGGCCCCAGUGCAGGCCCCAGUGCAGGCCCCAGUGCAGGUCCCAGUGCAGGUCCCAGUGCAGGUCCCAGUGCAGGCCCCAGUGCAGGCCCCAGUGCAGGCCCCAGUGCAGGCCCCAGUGCAGGUCCCAGUUCAGGUCCCAGUGCAGGUUCCAGUGCAGGUCCCAGUGCAGAGUAGGGUGUCCAAGUAUAUCCAAGUAGGCCUCAAAAGUUUCAGCAGACCUGUUUUGUAUGUCUCCUUAAAAACUCUGCAUGCAAUAUUGAGCUAUUGUCCAAUGUGUUCAUAGUCAGAUUAAACAACGCUAAAUAGAGACAAACACAGCUACAAACAUUGAUCAGAGAAAAAAGACCUGCUUACUGGCAUCUUGGUCAUAGCUCAGUUUGUAAAUGCCAUAGAGAUGAACCAAAGAUGUUCCCAUGUGUAUCCGAGUUCCGUCUUCCUUGGGCAUUUUAACACUUGUUUCUAGCCUAAAGCGUUGUGGACUUACGUGUCAAUGUAAAAAUAUAUAUACAGGGCACUCGGAAAGUAUUCAGACCCUUCCCCUUUUCCACAUUUUGUCACAGCCUUAUUGUGAAAUGUAUUUACCAUAUUUUUUCCCUCACAAUACCCAAUAGUGGCAACGUGAAAACAGGUUUUUAGAAAUGUUGGCAAAUGUAUACAUUUUUUAAACAGAAAUACCUUAUUUACAUAAGUAUUCAGACUCUUUGCUAUGAGACUCAAAAUUGAGCUCAGGUGCUUCCUGUUUCCAUUGAUCAUCCUUGAGAUGUUUCUACAACUUGGUUGGAGUCCACCUGUGGUAAAUUCAAUUGAUUGGACAUGAUUUGGAAAGGCACGCACUUGUCUAUAUAAGGUCACACAUUUGACAGUGCAUGUCACAGCAAAAACAAAACCAAGCCAUGAGGUAAAAGGAAUUGUCCGUAGAGCUCCGAGACAGGAUUGUGUCGGCACAGAUCUGGGGAAGGGUACCAAAAAAUGUCUGCAGCAUUGAAGGUCCCCAAGAACACAUGAUCCUCCAUCAUUCUUAAAGGGAAGAAGUUUGGAACCACCAAGGCUCUUCCUAGAGCUGGCUGCCUGGCCAAACUGAGCAAUCGGGGGAGAAGGGCCUUGGUCAGGGAGUUGAUCAAGAACCCGAUGGUCACUCUGACAGAACUCCAGAGUUCCUCUGUGGAGAUGGGAGAACCUUCCAGAAGGACAACCAUCUCUGCAGCACUCCACCAAUCUGGCCUUUUAUGGUAGAGGGGCCAGACUGAAGCCACUCCUCAGUAAAAGGCUCAUGACAGCCCUCUUGGAGUUUGCCAAAAGGCACCUAAAGGACUCUCAGAACAUUCCCUGGUCUGAUGAAACCAAGAUUGAACUCUUUGGCCUGAAUGCCAAGCAUCACGUCUGGAGAUAACCUGGCACCAUCCCUACGGUGAAGCAUGGUGGUGGCAGCAUCAUGCUGUGGAGAUGUUUUUCUGCAGCAGGGACUGGGAGACUAGUCAGGAUCGAGGGAAAGAUGAACGGAGCAAAGUACAGAGAGAUCCUUGAUGAAAACCUGCUCCAGAGCACUCAGGACCUCAGACUGGAGCGAAGGUUCACCUUCCAACAAGACAAUGACCCUAAGCACACAGCCAAGACAAGCUUGUAGCGUCAUACCCAAGAAGACCCGAGGUUGUAAUCGCUGCCAAAGUUGCUUCAACAAAGUACCUUUGUAAAGGGUCUGAAUACUUAUGUGAAUGUCAUAUUUCAGUUUUUUAUUUGUAAUGCAUUUGCAAACAUUUCUAAAAACCUGUUUUACUUUGUCAUUAUGGGUAUAGAUUGAUGAGGGAAAAAAAAUAUUUAAUCCAUUUUAGAAUAAGGCUGUAACGUAACAAAAUGUGGAAAAAGUCAAGGGGUUUGAAUACUUUCAGAAUGCAUUGUAUACUAUAACAAUAUUUCUGUAUUCUCCCCCUAGCUGGCUAUCAAAACACAUUAUGCAGUCACUCCGUCAAAACACAGCCUUCAAAUUUAUGCUGACUGUACAUGAUUGUUUUCUGAAAACAGAGUACAUUCAUCAUCCAAUCACUCAGUCUGUCUGAUGGCUGUACUUACAUCUCUGACUCUUUUCUAAAUAUCUAACUAAAUCUGUGACUAUUUUCCAGUAUCCUUCGCUCACAAACGGAGUUGUUUGUGUGUGUGCGUGUUUGUUUGUGCGUGGCAUGCAUACUUAUUCUGACAUUAAGUGUGGGACCAUGGCAAGUCUCACUGCAGGACUCCUCUCAGAAAUCUAUUUCUCAAAAUCGUUUUUUUUCAUUCUGUGUCCAUCCAAUCAAUAUACUACCUACUGCCCUCUCUCUCUCCUCCUCCUCCCCUCUCUCCUCCCCUCUCUCUCCUCCUCCUCCCCUCUCCUCCUCCUCCUCCUCCCCUCUCUUUCUCUCCUCCUCCUCCCCUCUCUUUCUCUCCUCCUCCUCCCCUCUCUUUCUCUCCUCCUCCUCCCCUCUCUCUCUCUCUCUCUCUCCUCCUCCUCCCCUCUCUUUCUCCUCCUCCCCUCUCUCUCCUCCUCCUCCUCCUCCUCCUCCUCCUCUCUCCUCCUCCUCCCCCUCUCUUUCUCUCCUCCUCCUCCCCUCUCUUUCUCUCCUCCUCCCCCUCUCUCCUCCUCCUCAUCCCCUCUCUUUCUCUCCUCCUCCUCCCCUCUCCACCUCCUCCUCCUCCUCCCCUCUCUUUCUCUCCUCCUCCUCCCCUCUUUCUCUCCUCCUCCUCCCCUCUCUUUCUCUCCUCCUCCUCCUCUCUCUCUCCUCCUCCUCCCCUCUCUUUCUCUCCUCCUCCUCCCCUCUCUUUCUCUCCUCCUCCUCCCCUCUCUUUCUCUCCUUCUCCUCCCCUCUCUCCUCCUCCUCCUCCCCUCUCUCUCCUCCUCCUCCUCCCCUCUCUCCUCCUCUCCUCCCCUCUCUCCUCCUCCUCCUCCCCUCUCUCUCCUCCUCCUCCCCUCUCUCUCCUCCUCCUCCUCCCCUCUCUCUCCUGCUCACUCUGUGAAUGAUUCCCACAUCCUACUCUUCAGGGGCACUACUUUCCAAUCAAUGCUCUUUACAUCUCUCUCUUUCUCUCAAUACCCCACAUCUACCGCUCCUCUUUCUCUCUAUACCCCACAUCUACCCCUCCUCUCUUUAACACUAUACCCAACCUAUACCUCUCAUCUCUUUCCCUCUAUACGCCACCUCACCCUCUCUCUUUCUCCCCCGGCACUCCAUCUUUCUCUAUAUAUUUAUCUCUCCCUAUCAACCCUUUCCCUCUCUGUCUUUCUGUCAAAUAGCAUUUUAUGUGUCACAUGCUUUGUAAACAACGGGUGUAAACAGUGAAAUGCUUACUUACAGACUGUGGUCCAACCUCUUACAUCUAGGGGUUCCACUAGCGGAACCCCUAGCCAACAGCCAAUGGGAUCGCAUGGCGGGAAAUACAAAAACAACUAAAAUACCACAAUUCCAUUUUCUCAAACAUACGACUAUUUUACACCAUUUGAAAGAUAAACCUCUCCUGAAUCCAACCACAUUGUCUGAUUUCAAAAAGGCUUUACAGCGAAAGCAAAACAUUAGAUUAUGUUAGGAUACCACCACAGCAAAAAAACAACAACACAGCCAUUUUCCUAGCAAGGACAGCCAUUUUCCAAGCAAGGGUCCCAAAGCACAAAACCAGCUACAAUUAUGCACUAACCUUUGACGAUCUUCAUCAGAUGACACUCCUAGGACAUUAUGUUAGACAAUACAUGCAUUUUUUGUUCCAUCAAGUUCAUAUUUAUAUCCCCAAAAAAAACAUUUUACAUUGGCGCGUGACGUUCAGAAAAUGUAUUCCCACCAAAAACUUCCUGUGAAUUUACAAAAAUACUCAUCAUAAACGUUGACAAAAUACAUAACAAUUAUUUUAAGAAUUAUAGAUACAGUACUCUUUUAUGCACCCGCUGUGUCAGAUUUCAAAAUAACUUUAUGUAGAAAGCACAUUGUUCAAUAUUCUGAGUACUGAGCACCAUGCUAUUCAGUUAGCCGUCCAGCCACGGCAUCCACAAAACGCUGAAAUAUGUUAAAAAUAUUAUCUUACCUUUGCUGAUCUUCGGCUGAAUGCACUCAGAAGGUCUCCCACUUCCACAAGAAAUGUUCAUUUGUUCGAUAAAGUCCAUCAUUUAUGUCGAAAUAAAUCAGUUUUGAUGGCGCGUCCAGAUCACCAUUCCAAAAUGCAUCUAUCCACCGUCGACGAAAAGUUAUAAAGUUCCCUCAGCGUUUGUAGAAACAUGUCAAACCAUGUUCAAUCAAUCUUUAGGGUGUUAUUAUAGUAGAAUUUCAAUAAUAUUCCAACUGGACAAUAGCAGAUUCAUUACAAAAGAAAAAUGGCUAAUCCUUCGUGAGCGUGCGCGAGGUGAGGCAAUGACACCAGGUCGACCACAUACUGUUCCGGGUAUUAUUAUAUCAAAUUGUAUUCUAGAAGCCUCAAACGAGGUUCUAAUGACUGUUGACAUCUAGUGGAAGCCUUAGGAAUGCAAUAUGAC